rnacentral:rRNA from 1 species
GACGAACGCUGGCGGCGUGCUUAACACAUGCAAGUCGAACGGAAAGGCCCUGCUUUUGUGGGGUGCUCGAGUGGCGAACGGGUGAGUAACACGUGAGUAACCUGCCCUUGACUUUGGGAUAACUUCAGGAAACUGGGGCUAAUACCGGAUAGGAGCUCCUGCUGCAUGGUGGGGGUUGGAAAGUUUCGGCGGUUGGGGGUGGACUCGCGGCUUAUCAGCUUGUUGGUGGGGUAGUGGCUUACCAAGGCUUUGACGGGUAGCCGGCCUGAGAGGGUGACCGGCCACAUUGGGACUGAGAUACGGCCCAGACUCCUACGGGAGGCAGCAGUGGGGAAUAUUGCACAAUGGGCGGAAGCCUGAUGCAGCAACGCCGCGUGCGGGAUGACGGCCUUCGGGUUGUAAACCGCUUUCGCCUGUGACGAAGCGUGAGUGACGGUAAUGGGGAAAGAAGCACCGGCUAACUACGU